GAUGAACGCUAGCGGCAGGCCUAACACAUGCAAGUCGAGGGAGAAGCCUUUCGGGGCAGAAACCGGCGCACGGGUGCGUAACGCGUAUGCAACCUACCUUUUACAGGGGGAUAGCCCGAAGAAAUUUGGAUUAAUACCCCAUAAUAUUGUUGGAUGGCAUCAUCUGAUAAUUAAAACUGCGGUGGUGAAAGAUGGGCAUGCGUCCUAUUAGCUAGUUGGAGUGGUAACGGCACCCCAAGGCUACGAUAGGUAGGGGUCCUGAGAGGGAGAUCCCCCACACUGGUACUGAGACAGGGACCAGACUCCUACGGGAGGCAGCAGUGAGGAAUAUUGGUCAAUGGUCGGAAGACUGAACCAGCCAUGCCGCGUGCAGGAAGAAUGCCUUAUGGGUUGUAAACUGCUUUUAUAUGGGAAGAAUAAGGUGUACGUGUACAUUGAUGACGGUACCAUAUGAAUAAGCAUCGGCUAACUCCGUG
rnacentral:rRNA from 1 species